UCGAGGGACGAGAAAGAUGAUAAAAAAAAGAGAGAGAGAAAGAGAGAGAAUAUAGUUAUUGAAAAGCAAAGUUUUUAAGCGAAUACGCACUUCCCUCUCUGGAGGGAGCGUGUCUGCCACUCGUGAAAUAUAGACGACACGCUCUGGGAAGAAUUUAGUUGCGAGGUUGAAGAGAGGGAUGUUCUUCUUGGAACUUGGUCGUCGAGUUGAAUCCGUUCCAAUGUUCGACGUUUUACAUUACAGCGCAAAGUGGUGUCAAUUAGGCUCGUAAUAUCGUCCGAAAGAAUUAACCAAUCCUCCGUUGGCAAUGAUUGUCGCGUUUCUCGUCGUUUCUAAAAUUUCAUCGAAGUUCUUUCCCAACUUUGCUCCCAAAAACUUUUCCCUUUCGAACUUUUAUCCCCUAAAAAAAAGGAAGAUAUAUUCGAACAAAUUGUAAUCGGCGUACUCUAUAUAUAGGCGGAUUAAUUUUAAGAAAAAAUAAUAAAAAAGAAUAAAUCGCUCGUGGAAAAUUUCGACUAAUCAAAAAUCUUCACUUUCAGGCGCGAUUGAAUCCAAUCCGGGGCGAAGCUCGCUCGGCUUCAACCGAAUCGAAGUCUCGCACAAACCGAGUCGAUGCCGCUCGAUUUCCGGAUAAAUUUAUUUUAAGUGUCCUCCCGAUGCCUCGAUUCACCAUGCUCGGUCGAAAGGAGUGAUAGCAACUGAGAGACUCGUCGGGCAAGUGUUCUCGUUUGCGUGACCCGGCGCCGUGUCAGACGCGAUCGAAAAAA